rnacentral:rRNA from 1 species
UACAGAGGUCCCGAGCGUUGUUCGGAUUCACUGGGCGUAAAGGGUGCGUAGGUGGCGAGGUAAGUCGGAUGUGAAAGCUCGGAGCUCAACUCCGAAAUGGCAUUGGAAACUACCUUGCUUGAGGGUUGGAGGGGGACUGGAAGUGCUUGGUGUAGCAGUGAAAUGCGUAGAUAUCAAGCGGAACACCAGUGGCGAAGGCGAGUCCCUGGACAACUCCUGACACUGAGGCACGAAAGCUAGGGGAGCAAACAGG